rnacentral:lncRNA from 1 species
AGAAGUUUCAAAUGACCCUCCAACACUAUGUAGACUGAGGAGCCUCUGACCAACUCAGCUUCUGAAAAAAAUCCAAACCUGUCCCUGCAGUUUCGGCUGUGCUGUUUCCGGAGUCAAGUAUUGAGGUUGAAGGAGGCUGAUUAGGCCUGGUCUGUGGCAGAAUGGUGCCCAAGCAGGGACCUCUGGACAGACUACAGCAAGGAGAACCAACCUGGUGCUGACAUAAAAUACAAACAACUAAAAGAGCUGACUCGUGAGGCAGAGGGACUGGUACAGAGAAUGAACAAGAUGUUUUCAUCAGAGACAAUGUUUUUGGCCAUUCAGGCCAACUCUCCUAUAGCUGUAAUAACUUGUGCUCCUUACCAGUAUGCUAUAUUGUUAGAUAAUUUUAAGAGUUAAGAUCACCAAUCUUGGCAAGUCUUUUCAUAUUAAUUAAUUCUUGUCAAUUAACAUUGUGUAGAUCAUAACUUAGAUAAGGAAUCUGCUGUUAUGAUGUUGUUAAAAAGACCUGCUUACAUUUUGCUGCCUGUAGACUUAGGAAAUAAUCCUUGGUUUGAGAAUUCAGGAUUGCAAACUUUGAAAAGGUUAAAUGAAUUUAUUAGACCAAAGGAGAUUUGUUACAGCUCUGAUUUUAGGAAUUACUGCUUUAACUGCAAUUUUAACUUCUUUUGCAGUAUCUACCACAGCUUUAGUUCGGCAACUACAUACCUCUCAUUUUGUUAUACAUAAACUGGAGGCAAAGGUUAAUGCUUUAAAAAAAAAAGGUAGUUUUAGCAAUAGCUUGAGACAGGAUAUACCAAGUAUUAAGGCUAGGUUAACAGAAAUUUCAGAUAUUAGCAGAAGCCAUUUGAAUACUUGGAACAUUGAUGAAUUGGCCAGAGAUUUAAAGAAUAACCUAAGUGCAUUGAAUCCCUUGGAUUGGGUUCAAUAUAUAAUCUUGCUUGCUAAUAUUACUGGAAUUAUUUUUUUAGUAAUCAUUGUGUUUCCACUCAUCUCUAGAGUUCUUCUGAGAUCUGUAGCUACCACGAAGCGGGACAUUCUGGAAUUUCGUCUAAAAAAAUAAAAAACAGGGGGAACUGCUACAUCCACUCCAGUAGUGACAAGCACAACAGGCCCCAAAAACCUGGGUGCUGUCCCAUGGCGAAAAGUUCACAGAAACUUAGUCUCCUAGAAUCGUGGCAUCCUGUAUAAAGAAUGCUCCAAUGUCCUUGCUUUAGUUGGUAAAUGGAGCUGUGUGCUUUCCCUUAACAUUGCUUUAUUACAAGUGCUCCUAAGGAUUGAUAUUUUGAUAUAUAGCUAAGUUAGAUUCUAGCCAGUCCUUGAUCCGACCUUGGGCAUGGAUAGCUAAGUCACUGCUCUACACAGAAAUUUACCAUUAUCUGGGAAGAAGGAAGUUUGUGACCUAAAGAGGAACCAGAGUAGAUAAUACUUAGAACUAUAGGUAGCUGAGUUACACCAUACACAAGUAUUUACAAUGGCCUAGGGGAAAGGUCGACUAGAGUAGGAACUAUGGCAAGGGCAUUAAGAUUAAGUGGACCUUACCUGGAGCUGUUUUUGAUCCCAGUUGUUAACAUUGAGAUUUACCCCAGUUGGUUCCUGCCAGUUUUUCCAUGUUUGUAUUUCUCUGUUUUGUGUAAGAAUCCAGUAACCUCUUUGUACCUUGCCCGUGUGUCACCCAACUUCCCUAUUUUCUUCUGUAUAAAAAGUUUGAUGCUCGAUUUGACAAAUUACAUUCAGAUCCAGCACACUC